AGCAGCUUGGCGCAGUGGAAGCGCGGUAAGUUACUCAAUCAACUGUACAAUAAUAAUCUUGUACUAACUUGCCUCAGCCGGGCUCAUAACCCGGAGGUCACUGGAUCGAAACCAGUAGCUGCUA
rnacentral:tRNA from 1 species